CCAUGCCGCGUGGUGAUGAAGGGCCCUAAGGGUUGUUAAAGCCCUUUCGGCGGGGAAGAUAAUGACGGUACCGCAGAAGAAGCCCCGGCUAACUUCGUGC
rnacentral:rRNA from 1 species